AAAGAAAAUUGUCUAGUCUUGCUUAGAAGUUCAUCUAAAAACAACUUUCAUGUCCACAUAACCACAGAAAACAUACUACUAGGCCUAUAACCAGUAUGUUUUCUGUGACAUAACCUAAGAUUUACAUUAAGUUGGCGCAAGUUAAGUUUGAGUGAGUUUGUUAAAACUUAGCUUCUUAUACAUACUGCGUGUUUUAAGUCAAGAGAAUUAUUAUUAAAACGUUAAACAUCCACGAUAUUAACAAAGAAUCAUCUGCACUUUGCUACACAAAGGGUAUUUAUUCAAAGAUGAUUUCUCCGAGGCAACUACCAAGAAACAUGUGACAAUGUGGCUGAACCAAGCUAAAACCAGAUUAACUCUAAGGACAGAAAGGAGAAAUCAGCUGGAAAACAAGGAAGCCACACUGAAGCUGUCCAACAAGAAGAUGGCAUGUUUGAGGACUCUAAAGUGUGUUUUCUGCUCCUAUAUUAUAAGAACCACAUAUUUCAUGUUUCUAUUUUGCAUAAAAAAUUGAAUACGGUAACUCAAAGUUGAAUCAUUAUAUGUAUAAUUUAAUUAAUUUUAGUGAACUGCCUAGUGAGGUUUUGGUUUUUUAAUUCAAUAAUUUCUGUAAAAACUAAAAAUGGU